rnacentral:lncRNA from 1 species
GGUAUUGUGUCGUUAUGGGGUAUUGUGUCGUCAUGGGGUAUUGUGUAUUAGGGGUAUUGUGUCGUCAUGGGGUAUUGUGUCAUUAUGGGGUAUUGUUGUCGUUCAUGGGGUAUUGUGUAUGGUUUAUUGGGGUCAUUGUGUGUAUGGGGAUUGUGUCAUUAUGGGGUUUGUGUCAUUAUGGGGUAUUGUGCGUUAGGUAUUGUGUUUAUUGGGGUAUUUGUGUCGAUGGGGUAUUGUUUCUUAUGGGGUAUUGUGUCGUCAUGGGGUAUUGUGUCAUACGGAGUAUUGUGUCAUUAUGGGGUAUUGUGUCGUUACCGGGUAUUGUGUCGUUACCGGGUAUUGUGUCGUCACGGGGUUGGUUGUGGCUAUUGUGUCGUUACGGGUUGGUAUUGUGUCGUUACCGGGUAUUGUGUCGUUACGGGGUAUUGUGUCAUUAUGGGGUAUUGUGUCGUUAUGGGGUAUUGUGUCAUUACGGGUAUUGUGUCGUUAGGGGUGGUUUAUUGUGUCAUCACGGGGUAUGGUGUCAUGGGGUAUUGUGUCGUUAUGGGGUAUUGUGUCAUUAUGGGGUAUUGUGUCAUUAGGGGUAUUGUGUCGUCAUGGGGUAUUGUGUUCUUAUGGGUUAUUGUGUCGUUAGGUGGUUGUGUCAUUACGGGUUAUUGUGUCGUUAUGGGGUAUUGUGUCGUCACGGGGUAUUGUGUGUCAGGGGUAUUGUAUCAUUAUGGGGUAUUUGUGUAUUAUGGGUAUUGUGUCAUUAUGGGGUAUUGUGUCGUUAUGGGGUAUUGUGUGUCAUUUAUGGGGUAUUGUGUCAUUAUGGGGUAUUGAUGUCAUUUAUGGGGUUUAUUAUGUCGUUCUUAUGGGGUAUUGUGUCAUUACUGGGGUAUUGUGUCAUUAUGGGGGUAGUGUAUGUCUUAUGGGGUUAUAUGGUGGUAUUGUGUCGUAUGGGUUGUUGUUGUCGUUAUGGGGUAUUGUGUCGUUAUGGGGUAUUUGUGUAGUAUGGUUGUGUCACUUUGGGUAUUGUGUCAUUAUGGGGUAUUAUGUCGUUAUGGGGUAUUGUGUCGUUAUGGGUAUUGUGUCUAUGGGGGGUGUUGGUAUUGUGUCAUUAUGGGUUUAAUGGUUAUGUAUGUUAUGGGGUAUUGUGUCGUUAUGGGUAUUGUGUCAUUAUGGGGUGGUAUUGUGUCAUUAUGGGGUUAUUGUGUUCCAUUAUGGGGUAUUGUGUCAUAGGGGUAUUUGUAUACUUAUGGUGUAUU